rnacentral:lncRNA from 1 species
GGAGUGCAAGAUUAUGACAAGUCAGAGUGGUUGGGACGAAGACAGUCAAGAUGGUUGGGAGGAAGAUAUUGAACCAUUCCAUGUGGUUAACAGUGAAGAAGAAGAGACGUUAAUGGGUGAAUUCUUUGAACCCAUGAGCAGUGAAGAUGAAGGAAAGGAAAAUAUUGAGAAAAAAGAAGUUGGUGAAGUGACGGUGUCACCUUUAGAAAAUGAGCAGAGUCCUCC